UUUUUUUUCCUCUACACGGAUUCUAUCCAAUUUGCUAACACCUCGAUGAUUUAUAAUUAUAUGUCUCAUUUUAUUUGGAAAAAUAAAAUUCUUCCCCCUUGAAUUUUGUGGGGAGCCGUAGUAGCACAGAAACCGAAACCAAAAACAAAAUUCAGCAACACGCAAUUCAUUGGAAGCGAUCAUAUAGAUAUACAAUCAACAAUGCUUUGCAAUACAAAUAUGUUGUGUUGAACUACCAAAUUAAGUUCUACAUAGACGAAUAAACUCCUCAAAAGAUUUCUGUGCCUCAUUUGCCAGAAUAGGAUGUUAACAGAAUAUCUUUGUCAUCCUUGUCAUUAACAUGCAUGAGAAGCUUUUGCCAGUACUAUAUUUUUGGUGUAGAAUCCUGCAAGAACUGCAUUGCCUGGUUGUACCAUUUAUGGCUGCAAAGAAAGAGAGAAAGCAUUCCUGAGAAUUAUAAUCAUUGCACAUGAUGUGAUUAGUAGAAAUUUUAGUUCAGAUCAACUCUUCAACCACACUUAGUUUUAAGUUUUAUGACAGUUUACUGAAUACCUGCUUCAGAACAAAUUACAAGUUUUUUUGGUUCGCAUAUGAAGCUUUUUCAAACCCACAAUUAAAAGUACAAAACAAUAUUUUCCUUGCAAUGUUAAUCUCUUCAGAUUGUAGCUGUGAAGGCGAAUCGUAAAAUGUUCCUUCAAAUAAAGCCAGAAAUUGAUCCCCAAGAUAAAUUCAUUUAACAAACACAUCACAUGACAUUUCAAUUAGUUCCAUAUCCUAAUCAAAACUAUUUGAACAAGUUUACUAUAUUUAAUGCACGAGGAAUGGAUUUAAUACCACUAAUUACAAUUUAAAUGAGAUGGGUUUGCACUAAAAGGGUUAACAAUUUUACCUUGCAAGUAUUUGCAUAUCUGAUUUAUGUGAAACACACCUUUACUUGAAAAGAAAUUUCUAAUUAGGAAGACAAAAGCCACUUCCCAUGCACUCUAACCUGAUUAUUUGAUGCUUGUUCAUGUAAUCUAUUAUUAGGCUUCAUGUUCAAAUCAAUCAUUUUUGUUUCCAUCUUGGUAUGCCCAUCAGCAGCAGAUCCUGGUGUUGGAAGCAGAGGCAUCACAUGAUUGUGCUGCUUCUCUCCCAUUUUUAGUUUGGGAAGUUGAUUUUGUCCUCUUUUACUCUCACCAGGUUCCAAUGGCUGUGAACCUGGAUUUUCAGCAUGACUAGAUUUGUCUCCUGGAAACUGUGGAACAAGGAGACAUUAUUACACCUUUUAAGGAAACCCAAUAGUAAAUAAACCCCAGUUUAAUCCCUAAGAUUGUAAGCAUUGGUCACUUUAAUCCUUGACUUUGUAAAAUAUAUUCAUUUCAGUUUUUCUUCACCAACAUUAAGGACUAAAACGAAUAACAUUUUAUAAAGUUAGGUACUGAAGUGAGCCUUGUGCAAAGCUAGAGAUUAAAACAGCCAAACUUACAAUCUUAAUACAAAAUUUUGGUGGGUUUAGUCAAUAAACAUAUCAAGACCAGUUCACUCACUAACCUCAACUCUUUGCCUGAACAGAAGAUAUCUUCCAUGCGUUCUUUUACCUCCAACAUGAACUAUCAUAUCACACUGCAAACAAAGGGAACUUCCAUCUGUCUCACAAUAGAAGAAAGCUACAUCCAGAUUGAAAGGGUAAACACAUAUAAACAAUAAGCAUCAUAGGAACACCAUAAGGAUAGAAAGAAGAAACCACCUACCAGGUGCAUUCUCACAUAUGUCACACCGUGGCACAUCACUUGGACUUGCAAGACCAACUCUCACAUGUCUACUUGCUAGCUUGUUGCACAUGUGAACCUGUCAGCUCCAAAACAUUAAUCUUCUACCCUUUGGUUCAAAGUUGUUGACCACAAAAACCAACACCAAACAAAAGUAAAAUACAGACUCAGAUUUUCAAUUCACACAACACCGCAACAAGAUCAAAUCGAAUCGAAGCAUAUCUAUGAAGCUACAAGAGGGUCAACCUUCAAGCCCUUCAAUUCGUUACCCCAUACAUACAUGAACUUCUCCAAGUUUCUCCCAGGAUUUCAAUAUUCUUAAAUUACCAAUGAAAUAUAGUGACCGUGUCGUAUUUUUCAAUAAACACCAGAUCAUAACAUUCAAGUCAGUGAUCUAAACGAAACACCAAAACACAAGUACAAAACACAGAUCAAUAUCGAUAAUGAGCACAACAUAUCACAAAGAAGAUCCAGAAAGUAUUGACAAAAAAAAAACACCUUCUCAUCGCAAGCACGACAAAGUGCAGCCUCGUCAGCGGCGCAGAAAACUAUAGCCGCCGCACUCUCACAAGCAUCACAAAGCGUUCGCAUGGUUGGACUCUCCCACUUUCAUUGCUUCAGGCAACAGACAGAAAGAAAGUUACAGUGAGACAGAAAAACACAAUAUAUGUAUCUAUGUGUGUAUUAUGAUGAUGAAUAUAUAUGAGCAUAGAAAGAGAAGGGAGGCAGAGAAGAAGACAGGUGUUCACCAAAUCCAUGUGGGUAUGAUAGUUUUGUUUUUCAGCGAAUGUUAUGUUGUUUGUGAAAGAGGGUGGAGGUGGUGGUUGAUGAAGAUGAUGAUGGGGAAGGACUAUGAUUAGAGUGUGGGAUAAAAGAAAGGAUUUUGAAGGAGUGGGGGGACCUUGAUGGUUGAUUCCAAAACUUUGCAAAGACACAAUAAAUGAGUGUUUGUCAACUCUGUUGGCCUCAAACAUUACUUCGUAGCCACAAGUUCAAAGCCAAUGCAGAGUUGACAGCAACUCACGCUUCAUUCUCACCCACCAAUUAAUUAUCUGACAUGGGACCCACAUCCUUCCCAUGUUUCUUGUUUCUUUCAUCCUUCCUAGCCUCUGCCUAACUUCUCCUUCCUUUUCAGCCACAACAACCAAAGCCAUGAAUCUUCCAUCUUCUUCUCUACCUGUCCCUUCUAUCCAUUUUCCUGCUCACUCUUACUUUAACUUCUUUAUCUACUCUACACCCAAAUUCUCAUACACACUUAUUACAAAUCUAUAAGAUGCGUACGUUUGCUUUUUUAGAGUUUUACUGGAUUUAUAAAAACAAGACUUUUGAAUGAAUCAACAGGGAUGGUGGAUUUCAAUGGAUUCGUCAAUAUCUAUACUGUUAAUAAAUGGACGACUCAUCAAACAGGUCUGAACAUCUUUGCAUGAGUAGUUGGCCGAGAAAAAAAAGAACUUUAGAUACUGUUUACAGUCCACAAUCAGAAGCACAAGAGACACUGAUCAAAUGGUAAUUUUCACUGUUCCUAGAAUAACUUUCCCAAACAGAAAUAAAAGGGGACUCAAGAUUUGUUUACAGCUUGUCACCUCUAUUAUUGCUUUACAUCAUCACAUGUUUCGGAAGCUCUGUCAAAUUAGCCUGACAUUUUAGCUGAUACUCUUUAAAAAGUUGGGAAUUUCCCAUCAGUAACCUUAUAUGUCUUUUUUUUUUUCAUAGAGAAUAAAGUGAGUUUGUUCUGGAUUGCUUUUGUUUAGUGUGUGCUACCAUUUAGUAAAGAUGAGAUGUAUACAGAUGCAUGAAACAGUAAUGUAGAACAGUGGCAACUUUUAAAGCAAAUAUUGAUUAUAACAUAAAACCUGUAAUGAGUUUAUAACAACUGUUUUUAAGUAUGUGGCUAGAGAUUGGUCAUUUUAAAUAGG
rnacentral:sRNA from 1 species